rnacentral:rRNA from 1 species
UUGCAGUUAAAAAGCUCGUAGUUGGAUUUCUGGUUAAAGGUUAGAGCGCACCUGUGUGAGGCUCGAGUCUUUUGCCAUCCUUCUGUUAACCUUACAUGACAUUGAUUUGUCGGUUUGGGGCUCAGAUAUUUUACCUUGAGAAAAUUAGAGUGUUUCAGGCAGGCUUGUGCCCGGAUACAUUAGCAUGGAAUAAUGGAAUAGGACUUUAAUCUCUUCUGUUGGUCUGAGGGGUUGAAGUAAUGAUUAAUAGGGAUAGUUGGGGGCAUUAGUACUUAACUGUCAGAGGUGAAAUUCUCGGAUUUGUUAAAGACUAACUUAUGCGAAAGCAUUUGCCAAGGAUGUUUUCGUUAAUCAAGAACGAAAGUUAGGGGAUCAAAGACGAUCAGAUACCGUCCUAGUCUUAACCAUAAACUAUGCCGACUCGGGAUCGGGGGCUAGAGUUAACUGCCUUCGGCACCGUAUGAGAAAUCAAAGUCUUUGGGUUCCGGGGGGAGUAUGGUCGCAAGGCUGAAACUUAAAGGAAUUGACGGAAGGGCACCACCAGGCGUGGAGCUUGCGGCUCAAUUUGACUCAACACGGGGAAACUUACCAGGUCCAGACAUAGUGAGGAUUGACAGAUUGAUAGCUCUUUCU